GGCCACUUUUGAUGCCAUUUCCAAGACCUACAGCUAUCUCACCCCUGAUCUUUGGAAGGAGACUGUGUUCACCAAGUCUCCCUAUCAGGAAUUCACUGACCAUCUUGUAAAGACCCACACCAGAGUCUCUGUGCAGAGGACCCAGGCUCCAGCUGUGGCCACCACAUAGUUUUGUAUGAGAAGAAUAAAGUGAAUUGAAGCUUG